rnacentral:rRNA from 1 species
CCCUUAGAUGUCCUGGGCUGCACGCGCGCUACACUGAUGCGUCCCAUGAGUGAUUCCUUACUCGAGAGGGUUGGGUAAACUGUUCAUGCGCAUCGUGAUGGGAAUAGAGCUUUGUAAUUUUUGCUCUUCAACGAGGAAUUCCUAGUAGGUGCAAUUCAUCAACUUGCGCCGAUUACGUCCCUGCCCUUUGUACACACCGCCCGUCGCUCCUACCGAUUGAGUGUACCGGCGAAAUAGUCGGAUCGCGCUUGGGGGUUCUGCUCUCGAUGCGUGCGAAGACGCUUAAGCCAUUAUACUUAGAGGAAGGAGAAGUCGUANCA